UAGAACUCGAGCAUCGACCGCAUGAUCUUAAAGAAGAGGAGCUGAAAAGAUGCACGAGAGGCUGCCGGUGCUGCACUGAUCUGACAGUACUGAAAAACUAGUUAGGCCACAAAAACCCAGAACUAGAUUGCUGACAAAACACCUGUGGGUGCAAGAUGGAAAGAGGGAAGUUCUGCCACAUCAUCUACAGCACCAUUAUCCCCUCGUAGACGUGAGUGAUAAAGUUUAGUCUAGGCAAUGUGAGUUUAAAAUCAGCAAAUUCUUGGAAAUAUAAAAGAGAACUGAGAGAAUGAGUCAACAAAAACCUGAGGAAAGGUUUACCAUACUGUGACCAUGUGAGCUCUUGUCACCUCCCCAUCAAACCAACACACACAUACUGUUGCCCAAGUAUCUUGCAACAUUGCAAGAGACACAAUCUGAGUAUGAACUGCCCACCAGGGUGAGACACUGGAAAAACAACCUUGCUUGUUGUGGUCUUUUUUGUGUGUACAAACUAACACUACUUCUGUGACACCUAUAUGAUGCUGCUCUGUCCCAUAUUUUCAUUGUCACCACUCUCGCUCCAUCAAGUUGCACACGUUCCACCCCCCCCUCGAUGUCUGGGCCACUCUACGUCUCAGGACAAUGGAUGUCUGCAUGGGGCGAGGGUCUUGCCCAACCUAUUGUCAGUUUAGCAUGGCGAGGCUUUAGGUGCAGGUCAAACGAGACGGGGGCCCUUGAUGUGCACGCAGACGGACACAAACAUCCCUCCCCUGCGUCCCACAAGCAUGAACUAAUCCAGCUACAACCUCUGUCAACAUAAACACAUGACUAAUCUGAGUGCAUCUAUGGCAAUAAUACCGGUCUAAGUGGAAAAGAGAAGAGUGGGGGAGAGCUGUGGCCUAAUCCUAAGGGGGGGAAAAGUACAGAUUAAUAAUAGACCUUGGAAAUAUAACACUAUUUUGGGGAGGGGAGGUCAGGGCUUGGUUUCACCUAAAAUUGAGUGAGUGAUAUGCAGGGGCAUAUGGUUGCUCUAUCAGCUUACAAAAUAAAGGAGGAUUAGUGCUUUUGGACGAGGUUCUGUGACGUGAUUACACUCGUAUCUUGAAAAAGACUUUGUGUUCGGGGGCUAUUGAUUGUGUAACGAUUUGAACUGUUUGUCAGAUGCGUAUAAAAUAUUCUAAAAUCAAGUCUUGUGCUACACAACUUCAGUGCUGCACGUCCUACUUUUCUUAUGGAAGGGGAGUGCAUUAAGGUGGGAUUUUGUAUUCUGUGAUUUGUCGACCUGAACGUAACGCAGACUCUUCAUUCUGAAUCUUACACUAUGUGCAGCUUGACUGUGACCUCCUGACCUUCUCUGGAAGACAUCAGGACAGCACAGAUGGGAGGCACACCUUAGCCCCUGUAUGAUUCACUUUCGUUCUGAUUACUGCUUUAAUAUGGUGUAACAGUUCUUUUCCUGCCCAGGUUCCUGUUUAGAGUCCUUCCUGUAAAUGUCAUGUGUUUCCAUGAAUAAAUCAGACUUUAUGACUACA